rnacentral:rRNA from 1 species
GACGAACGCUGGCUGCGUGCUUAACACAUGCAAGUCGAACGGAAAGGCCCUGCUUUUGUGGGGUGCUCGAGUGGCGAACGGGUGAGUAACACGUGAGUAACCUGCCCUUGACUUUGGGAUAACUUCAGGAAACUGGGGCUAAUACCGGAUAGGAGCUCCUGCUGCAUGGUGGGGGUUGGAGAGUUUCGGCGGUUGGGGAUGGACUCGCGGCUUAUCAGCUUGUUGGUGGGGUAGUGGCUUACCAAGGCUUUGACGGGUAGCCGGCCUGAGAGGGUGACCGGCCACAUUGGGACUGAGAUACGGCCCAGACUCCUACGGGAGGCAGCAGUGGGGAAUAUUGCACAAUGGGCGGAAGCCUGAUGCAGCAACGCCGCGUGCGGGAUGACGGCCUUCGGGUUGUAAACCGCUUUCGCCUGUGACGAAGCGUGAGUGACGGUAAUGGGUAAAGAAGCACCGGCUAACUACGUGCCAGCAGCCGCGGUGAUACGUAGGGGGCGAGCGUUGUCCGGAUUUAUUGGGCGUAAAGGGCUCGUAGGUGGUUGAUCGCGUCGGAAGUGUAAUCUUGGGGCUUAACCCUGAGCGUGCUUUCGAUACGGGUUGACUUGAGGAAGGUAGGGGAGAAUGGAAUUCCUGGUGGAGCGGUGGAAUGCGCAGAUAUCAGGAGGAACACCAGUGGCGAAGGCGGUUCUCUGGGCCUUUCCUGACGCUGAGGAGCGAAAGCGUGGGGAGCGAACAGGCUUAGAUACCCUGGUAGUCCACGCUGUAAACGGUGGGUACUAGGUGUGGGGUCCAUUCCACGGGUUCCGUGCCGUAGCUAACGCUUUAAGUACCCCGCCUGGGGAGUACGGCCGCAAGGCUAAAACUCAAAGGAAUUGACGGGGCCCCGCACAAGCGGCGGAGCAUGCGGAUUAAUUCGAUGCAACGCGUAGAACCUUACCUGGGUUUGACAUGGAUCGGGAGUGCUCAGAGAUGGGUGUGCCUCUUUUGGGGUCGGUUCACAGGUGGUGCAUGCCUGUCGUCAGCUCGUGUCGUGAGAUGUUGGGUUAAGUCCCGCAACGAGCGCAACCCUUGUUCACUGUUGCCAGCACGUUAUGGUGGGGACUCAGUGGAGACCGCCGGGGUCAACUCGGAGGAAGGUGGGGAUGACGUCAAGUCAUCAUGCCCCUUAUGUCCAGGGCUUCACGCAUGCUACAAUGGCUGGUACAGAGAGUGGCGAGCCUGUGAGGGUGAGCGAAUCUCGGAAAGCCGGUCUCAGUUCGGAUUGGGGUCUGCAACUCGACCUCAUGAAGUCGGAGUCGCUAGUAAUCGCAGAUCAGCAACGCUGCGGUAAAUACGUUCCCGGGGCU